AGCACAAUGAUGAAUGACAAAGGGACUUAAUGCUGAGACUUGAUGUCACAUUCUUGAUAUUCUGAUGUGU
rnacentral:snoRNA from 10 species